rnacentral:tRNA from 1 species
GGGCUUGUAGCUCAGUGGAAUAGAGCACGUGGUUCCGAACCACGAGGACGGGGGUUCGAGACCCUUCAAGCUCA